GGAGAGUUUGAUUUAAGUAUAUUGAUGUUGAAUAUUGAAAAAUAAGAAUUUUAUAACCUCUGCAAAUAAAUUUUUGUUGAAAUGAUUUGAUUAUGAGCUGCAAAGGCUUACUACAGUUGUAGUGUUAUGACAAGACUUCUAAAAUGGCACUUAGUAUCAGAAUCAUGUAUGCUUCAAAUAUAUUCCUUUGCUUAGCAUAUAUAAGUUGCUUUCUGGAAUUGUUAUUGGCUGCUAACAUAGUUACAUGCAGCUUUUUGGCUUUGCCUAUCUUGGACCAUUCGGGCAUUUUUUUCACUUAUUGCUGGACAAACUUUUCAAGGGGAAGAAAGACACAACAACUGUUGCAAAAAAGAUUAUUUUCAUUCUUGAUCAAUGAUAAAACUCUGCUAUAUUAUUUUCAUUCUUGAUCAAAAUUAAAUUGGUCUGGAUGCCACCUUUAUACCCGUCGGCCCUUGAAGACAUAGAUGCUGUUGAUGAUGGCGCAGUUGAUCCUAAGGAGUAUGAAGCUAUGAAGCAUCAAGUUGCUCAGCUAACAAGAACACUUAAUUUCUCGGAGGCUAGGAUGUUGGGUAUGCAAGCCCACAUUAAUAGUUUAUGAUGGAUAUGUUUAAAUGGAUAUGUAUAUUAUCUUUAAGGGUUUGAAUGUAGUUUUAGUUCGAAUUAGAAGUACUUUUAAGUUUAUAAUGUUUAAGUGUUUGAAUGAAGUUUAUGAUGUUUAAGUGUUUGAAUGUAGUUUAUGAUGUUUAAGUGUUUGAAUGUAGUUUUAAUUUUAAGUACUUUGAGGUUGAAUUUGAUUGUUUAUAAGUGUUUGAAUGGACAAUGUUUAAUGUUUGAACAUUGUUUAUGGUUGUUGUGUUGCAUUGUUGAUGAAUUGGAUGGCUGUUUUGGUUGA